AAACCCCUGUGGACAUACCUUUAAUGUUGCCUCGGCGGAUCAGCCCGCGCCCCGUAAAACGGGACGGCCCGCCAGAGGACCCAAACUCUAAUGUUUCUUAUUGUAACUUCUGAGUAAAACAAACAAAUAAAUCAAAACUUUCAACAACGGAUCUCUUGGUUCUGGCAUCGAUGAAGAACGCAGCAAAAUGCGAUAAGUAAUGUGAAUUGCAGAAUUCAGUGAAUCAUCGAAUCUUUGAACGCACAUUGCGCCCGCUGGUAUUCCGGCGGGCAUGCCUGUUCGAGCGUCAUUUCAACCCUCAAGCCCCCGGGUUUGGUGUUGGGGACCGGCUCUGCCCUUCUGGGCGGUGCCGCCCCCGAAAUACAUUGGCGGUCUCGCUGCAGCCUCCAUUGCGUAGUAGCUAACACCUCGCAACUGGAACGCGGCGCGGCCAUGCCGUAAAACCCCAACUUCUGAAUGUUGACCUCGGAUCAGGUAGGAAUACCCGCUGAACUUAAGCAUAUCAAUAAGCGGAGGAA
rnacentral:rRNA from 1 species